rnacentral:lncRNA from 1 species
GCUGUCUCAACCUCUCCGGAGUCCCUGAAUCAAUCUCAUCCUACUGAGGACAGCCUUCUGUCAAAAGGAUUCCCGAGCCACAGAGUUCGGGGAGAGAAUGCUCCUCUCGGCCACAAGUGUCCUGCUAGGGAGAUUUUCAGAGGGAUUCCCUUCUCUAAAGGCAGAAGACUGUACUCUGGAAAUACCUUCUCCGAUCCCCCAGAGGAUGUGCUUCUGGCCAUGAUCAUAGCCCCCAUCUGCCUCAUCCCUUUCCUCGUUACGCUUGUGGUGUGGAGGAGUAAAGACGGCGAUGCGCAGGCGUAGGCUCCGCCUCUCAGCAGCCAUCUUUUCCCUGUACCCUGCUGGAACCAGGAUCUCUCCUCCCCUCCCUACCCACUUACUCCCAUCCUUCCCACAGACCUUCGGAUUGGUGGAAAUGGAAGAAAGGGGAACUGAUAGCACAAUGUCCGUCGUCUUUAAAAUAAAAUAUGUUUUUGUACAAUCGUC